rnacentral:rRNA from 1 species
AUUGGACGCUGGCGGCAGGCCUAACACAUGCAAGUCGAACGGUAACAGGAAACAGCUUGCUGUUUCGCUGACGAGUGGCGGACGGGUGAGUAAUGUCUGGGAAACUGCCUGAUGGAGGGGGAUAACUACUGGAAACGGUAGCUAAUACCGCAUAACGUCGCAAGACCAAAGAGGGGGACCUUCGGGCCUCUUGCCAUCGGAUGUGCCCAGAUGGGAUUAGCUAGUAGGUGGGGUAACGGCUCACCUAGGCGACGAUCCCUAGCUGGUCUGAGAGGAUGACCAGCCACACUGGAACUGAGACACGGUCCAGACUCCUACGGGAGGCAGCAGUGGGGAAUAUUGCACAAUGGGCGCAAGCCUGAUGCAGCCAUGCCGCGUGUAUGAAGAAGGCCUUCGGGUUGUAAAGUACUUUCAGCGGGGAGGAAGGGAGUAAAGUUAAUACCUUUACUCAUUGACGUUACCCGCAGAAGAAGCACCGGCUAACUCCGUG